GAUGAACGCUGGCGGCGUGCCUAAUACAUGCAAGUCGAGCGAACGGACGCUAAUCUUGCUUCUCUGAUGUUAGCGGCGGACGGGUGAGUAACACGUGUAUCCCCUCCCUAUAAUACUGGGAUAACUUCGGGACUCCGUCUCUAAUCCCGUAUAAUAUUUUGCUCCGCAUUGUUCAAUAGUGAAAUUCGGUCUUUCUGUCUCUUCUCGCUGGUUCCGGGCUGCAUUAGCUAGUUGGUAAGGUAACGGCUUACCAAGGCAACGAUGCAUAGCCGAACUGAGAGGGGGAUCGGCCACACGGGAACGGAAACAGGGUCAAGACGCCUAAGGGAGGCAGCAGUAGGGAAUCGUACGCAAUAGGCGAAAGCAUGACGGAGCAACGGCGCGUGAGAGAUGAAGGUCUUCGGAGCGUAAAACUCGGUUAUUAGGGAAGAACAGAUGUGUAAGUAAAUGUGCACAUCGUGACGGUACCUAAUCAGAAAGCAACGGCUAACUACGUG
rnacentral:rRNA from 1 species